CAGCGGCGACGGCGGCGCUAUCUCUGAGUUUCGGAAUCAAAAUCCAAAUGAUGAAUGGCAUAAAAACGAAAGCUUCAGCAAUUCUGUAUCAUUAUCCUUGUCCUGAUGGUGCUUUUGCUGCUCUCGCCGCUCACCUUUACUUCAAAGCUACUUCUCUCCCAGCUCUCUUCUUCCCCAACACAGUCUAUCGCCCCCUCAGAGUUGAAGAUCUUCCCCUGCAUGAAAUUAGUGAUCUUUACCUUCUGGAUUUCGUGGGGCCUCUGGAUUUGUUCAGGAAAUCUCCACCAAAGUUGGAGCGUAGGUUUCACUUUUCCCCCAUUCCCUUUUUGUUUUUGUCAUCCUUUCAUUUAUGCUUAUUGGAGGAUGAUAUGUAUAUUUCAUCAACUUAUUAUAUUUUCUCAUAUGAAGAGUGUCAUUUUGGACCAUCACAAGACUGCGCUUGAGAAUUUAGGCAGUGAGAGCUUGGUUGAUGAGAAUGUGAUUAAAGUGAUUGAUAUGGAGAGAAGUGGGGCAACUAUUGCGUUUGAUUACUUUAAAGAGAAGCUUCUUAGUUCACGCGCAGAUGCUAAGCAUCAACCAGUGCUUAAGCAAUUUGAGGGUGUCCGUAAACUUUAUGAUUACAUUGAAGAUGGAGACCUUUGGAGAUGGAAACUCCAAAACAGCAAGGCUUUCAGCAGUGGUUUGAAAGAUUUGGACAUAGAGUUUGACGCCCGUUUAAACCCUUCCUUGUUUGACCAGUUGUUGUUAUUGGAUGUUGACUCUGUAAUCAGUCAAGGCAUGGUGAGCUUAUCACGCAAGCAAAAAUUAAUAGAUGCUUGUCUCAGCCGGUCAUACAGAAUUGCACUCGGCGGUGGUGCAUAUGGCUCAUGCUUGGCUAUAAAUGCAGAUGCUGCUCUUUCAGAGCUCAGAAGUGAAUUGGGAAAUCAGUUAGCUUGUAAAAGCCAAAAUCUGAAGUUGAGGGCUAUUGGAGCUGUUGUAUAUAAAGUACCAGAGCUUGGAAAUGACAAUAUGCUGAAAAUAAGUUUGAGGAGUUUGGGCAAUGAAGAUACAACUCCCAUCUCUCAGGAAUUUGGAGGUGGGGGACACAGAAAUGCAAGUUCUUUCAUGUUAAGCUCUGAGCAAUUUGAGCAAUGGAAAGUGUGAUUAUAAUUCGAAAGUGCUUCCCAUAUAAGGAGAGAGAACAGAGAGUUUCCACCACAUGUUCUCUGUGCUGCUUCAAUCUGGAACUGUCACUUUGCAAAGCUAAGUGAUUGUUGAGGUCAAAUAUGUGGUGAUGACAAGUGUAUACACAGGCAAAGGGAAGUUCUGAAAGUUGUCAUAUGGGGCCUGUGGGGGCACCAACAAGGACUUGUUUUGAAGACGAAAACAUCUGCUUUUCUGAGAUGUGACUCAUGCAAUAUACUUUUUCUAAUGCUUUUGGAAUCUCCCACACUAAAAUCCAUCCCCUGCCCCUCUCUCCUCUCAGCUUCUCCAUGCAAGUUAUGAAACUGCGAUAACUCAAGUUAUGAAACUGAUGAACAUAACUGCUUUACACAUUUUAGGAUAUUUACUAUUAUGUUUUUCAUAAAAGCACUAGGAUUAACUCAUUUUACAUGGUUAAUUUUCGUGUUAUCAGAGAACUUGAUGACAAAGAUGUUGGAGAAGAUUAUUUACCUGUAUCCCGGAGAUGUCCUCAGAUUCUUUGUCGUCGAGGCGGUACUCAUGCAUGACCCAGUCAGUUCUGAUGCCUUGAGGGGCUCUGCCUUUGUAGUAAACAAGAGUUUUCUUCAUGCCAAUGGGUCUGUUUUGGGAACUGACCCUUCUGUCUUUGCCUGUGGACUUCCAGUACCCAGCUCUAGUGGCUCUGUUAGUUCUGAAACCGUUAGGGUAUUUCCUGUCUCUGGGUCCAAAAAAGUACCACUCUGGAUCUCUACUUGGCAGAAAUGACUUGUCUGCCACACCAUCAUCAUCAUCACCAUGGCAACAAAAUGUCCCACCAAAAUCAGCCAACUGAAGAACUUUCCUUAUCUUUUGGUACACAUUAUUAAAACAUGCAUCAAACUCA